ACAGAAAAGAUUGAAAUUAAAAACCCCUAAUCCCUAAUAUCUUAUCACUUCGAAAAUCCUAAACCAGUGUUCUCUCCUGAUCUUGACACUAAAAAGCUCUACAAAGAAUGAUUCUUAGAGGGAUUUUCUUUUCUCAUUGACUACGCCUUCGAUCGUUUGCUUACAUCAGUGGAAGGAUGAUUCAGUGGUGGUGCUCAUUGGUGCAACAUCAACAGCAAACUUGGUUUUUGUGCGAGGUCGUCCAGAAAAGAGAUAAAAUAACGAUAUAUUAGAGGCGGUCCUAGUCUUUUUAUGCAAAAUGAAGCAUAAAAAGGACGACUGGAGGGCCAUUUAUCAAGGACCCGAGAAAAGCUUUUUUAAUUUGCAUGUGUGUCAAAGAAAAAGCAUGGCAGACCAAGGAAGAAUCCAAGGAAGCAACCAGUAAAAGCAAGUGAGACCUCAAACACACCACUUACAGAUGUAGAAUUGAGUAGAAUUAAUGCUAUUGAUAGGCACAGAUGCCAGGUGAAAAUUCUAUUGAAUAUGUCAUAGGACCUUAAGCAGCAGCCAAAGCAGCAAAAAGAGUCAAACACACAACAAAAAAAGGCAAAUCAAAGAAGCAGCAACAACCUUUGUCAUAGCUAAUUGGAUCCCAAGCUCCCUUAGAUCGAUCCAAUACCUUCCCAAACUUCAAUUGAGAUUCAAAAUGACUAUCCACUUCCAGAAGUACUAGACUGAUAGUAGCAUCAAUGGAAGCUCAUAUGGCCAAAAUUUUGUUUUUGGAAAUAGAUGUACUGCUAUUAGUUUAUUGGACUUUGUAGUUAUUAGGGAUGAUAGUAUGCUAUGACAUAUUUUGGUAUUUUGGAUCAAUAGGCAUAUUGAUGCAAUAUUUAUAGUUAUUAUGAAAAUGUAAUGGCAUAUGCCAAUGCACAGUAGGGUUUGGCUUUAUGCAAUAUUUUGUUAUUUUAGAUGUGUAAUAGGCUAUGCCAAUGAACAAUACGCAUAUAGUUGAUUGGACAUGUAUUUUGGACCUAUUGAUCUAAUAUCAAUGUGUGAAGAAUAUAUUUUAUUACA